GGGACAUAUGUUUACAAUAAAUUGUAUAUUAUUUGCAACCUUAUAAAUCAGGUUCUGCUCUCAGGGUACAAUCCCUAAUAUUAUUAAGAUGUGACAUAAGUAAGUAUAAAGAUGUGAAUAAGUACUAAAGUAUAAUUUAUAUAUUUUAUAAUACAUUCAUAUUUUAUAAUAAAUUAAUGAAAAUUUAAUAAGUAUAUACAAAUUUUUGUGCAACAAAUUGUUAUAUCCCAAUGGCAAUGUUGACCAUUCCAUGUACAGUAUUAUAUAUUUUAUACCCUCACUUUAUCUCCCAGGUAAUUUUAUAAUGGUAUGAAAAGCAUAUGUAAAUCUGGGCUGUUUAACUUUAUACUAAGCUCACAUAUAUCACCAACAUAUGGAACACAACCGAGCAAUGAAUACUGUUGAUUAUCGAAAAAAUAUUGUAUGUACAAUGCCCAACUGAUGAAUCAACUAACAAUUGACUAAUUGGUUGUCGUUUAGGGAGUGGUCAUUAUUUAUGGGGAGGGGGGUUGGUAAAUGGGAGGGGGGCAAACAAAGUUUUACCCUUAUAAAUAGGGAGGGGUCAAAAAAGUUUUUGAACUAAAAUACAAUGUCUAGAGUUCUGAUUUCUAUAAUCACAAAUAGCAAAAGAAGACUCUGAAAAUUAUGCCAUUUCCAACAACCUAGAGACUGUAAAUUUUCAAAAUUUCCCCGCUCGGUGCCAACCAUGGUAGCGCCUCGUGGGAGUCAGGCCUACUAAGUUUAACAAGCUUCCUACCCCCUGAGUGACCCAGUUGUGGUAUUUACAUAAACAUACCAUGCAAGUACACUUAGCUGAUCAGAUUUGGUCUAUCAAAGCACAAUGUAACGCUGUAUAUCCCAAAAUCUGUUUCAGAAAAUGCUCACAUUUCAGUCCUAGGGGUGGAAAAUACAAAACAUUUUCUGGGGGAGAAUACCCCAGACCCCCCCUACUAGUACAUAUGAUACCACACCAAACUUUUUGUCACCAACAACCAUCUGGCAUCUCUCCACACUCAGUAUACAGUAGUAUGGUCCCUUCCCCCAGAUAAUAAUACAUAAUAUACACAUAAUAUACAGUCACAUAUAUAACACAUAAUAU